GCCCCCGUGGCCCAGUGGUACGGCAUCUGACUUCUAAUCGACUUAUGUUAUCAGAAGAUCGCGGGUUCGAUCCCCGCCGGGGGCU
rfam:Rhodotorula sp. JG-1b unplaced genomic scaffold RHOSPscaffold_60, whole genome shotgun sequence.